rnacentral:rRNA from 1 species
AAAGGUAAUAAUAAAACCAAUAUACACUGGCAGUCCUCAUAAAUUAAAGCAGCUCGCAUCAUAAUCGUAAACACCCGAUUAAUUUCACUUAACUUAAAAAUCUAUAUACCGCCGUAAAGACUUAAUACCUAUUCACAACUCUCACACUACUAAAAGACAAAAACAGGUCAAGGUGUAGUAAACAGUUAAGAAGAUGUAAGCCGCAUAUAAAAAAAAAUUAAAAACUACAACGCAAAAACAAAGAAUAAAAAGAAUUUAUUUGUAAAUAAUAAUUAAAACCUAAUAUAGACUAAAACAAUAGAAGAUGC